AUGAGACUGGCAUACAUGUUGACAGAGAAAAUACUCGAGAUGGGCAACUCCCAACGGAAUGUAUUAGGUUCCUGCGGUAAGCUGAUCGAUAUAAACCUAUAUAUGUACCAGAUGGAACCAUGCAAUGCACUUUUACCCAUUCAGAGCCCGAGAAAACUGGAUGUUCUAAAACUCAUCCCUAAUACUGAAGCAACAAUACUCAUCCCUAAUAUUGAAGUAACAAAACCAACUUUCCAUUGCACGAUACUCCAGUAUUAUACCGGUUCAAAUACUGAAGUCCUAGUAUUUGGUCUCCAAGCCAUAUAUCAUCCCAAAAUCUCACGUUAUGCCAUUACCUACAGAGAAAGAGCCUCUGCUAAAUAA
rnacentral:rRNA from 1 species